rnacentral:rRNA from 1 species
GGGAUAUUGCACAAUGGGGGAAACCCUGAUGCAGCGACGCCGCGUGGGCGAAGAAGUAUUUCGGUAUGUAAAGCCCUAUCAGCAGGGAAGAAGAAAUGACGUUACCUGACUAAGAAGCCCCGGCUAACUACGUGCCAGCAGCCGCGGUAAUACGUAGGGGGCAAGCGUUAUCCGGAUUUACUGGGUGUAAAGGGAGCGUAGACGGCAGCGCAAGUCUGAAGUGAAAUCACAUGGCUUAACCAUGGAACUGCUUUGGAAACUGUGCAGCUGGAGUGCAGGAGAGGUAAGCGGAAUUCCUAGUGUAGCGGUGAAAUGCGUAGAUAUUAGGAGGAACACCAGUGGCGAAGGCGGCUUACUGGACUGUAACUGACGUUGAGGCUCGAAAGCGUGGGGAGCAAA